GUACGGGAGGCAGCAGUGGGGAAUCUUGCACAAUGGGGGCAACCCUGAUGCAGCGACGCCGCGUGAGCGAUGAAGCCCUUCGGGGUGUAAAGCUCUUUCGGCCGGAACGAUGAUGACGGUACCGGCAGAAGAAGCUGCGGCUAACUACGUGCCAGCAGCCGCGGUAAUACGUAGGCAGCGAGCGUUGUUCGGAGUUACUGGGCGUAAAGAGUGCGUAGGCGGUGCUCUAAGUUUGGUGUGAAAUCUCCCGGCUCAACUGGGAGGGUGCGCCGAAAACUGGAGUGCUCGAGUGUGGGAGAGGUAAGCGGAAUUCCUGGUGUAGCGGUGAAAUGCGUAGAUAUCAGGAGGAACACCUGCGGUGUAGACGGCUUACUGGACCAUGACUGACGCUGAGGCACGAAAGCGUGGGUAGCAAACAGGAUUAGAUACCCCGGU
rnacentral:rRNA from 1 species